rnacentral:tRNA from 4 species
GGCGCCGUGGCCAAGUGGUAAGGCAAGGGUCUGCAAAACCCUCAUUCGUCGGUUCGAAUCCGAUCGGUGCCUCCA